rnacentral:ncRNA from 1 species
AAACAAAAUAGCUAUCGUAUAAAGUUGAUAUAAUGGAUCAACGGUUUCUACCAAAUCACCAAUGGUUUGACUACGAUAAGGUAUAUUU